UACGUAGGGGGCAAGCGUUGCUCGGAAUCACUGGGCGUAAAGGGUGCGUAGGCGGCUUGGUAAGUUGGGUGUGAAAGCCCCGGGCUCAGCCCGGGAAGGGCACUCGAAACUGCCGAGCUGGAGUGCCGGAGGGGAGAGUGGAAUUCCUGGUGUAGCGGUGAAAUGCGUAGAUAUCAGGAGGAAUGCCGAUGGUGAAGACGGGCAACUGGGCCUUUCCUGACGCUGAGGCACGAAAGCGUGGGGAGCAAACAGG
rnacentral:rRNA from 1 species